AUUGAACGCUGGCGGCAGGCCUAACACAUGCAAGUCGAGCGGAUGAAGGGAGCUUGCUCCUGGAUUCAGCGGCGGACGGGUGAGUAAUGCCUAGGAAUCUGCCUGGUAGUGGGGGAUAACGUCCGGAAACGGGCGCUAAUACCGCAUACGUCCUGAGGGAGAAAGUGGGGGAUCUUCGGACCUCACGCUAUCAGAUGAGCCUAGGUCGGAUUAGCUAGUUGGUGGGGUAAAGGCCUACCAAGGCGACGAUCCGUAACUGGUCUGAGAGGAUGAUCAGUCACACGGGAACUGAGACACGGUCCAGACUCCUAAGGGAGGCAGCAGUGGGGAAUAUUGGACAAUGGGCGAAAGCCUGAUCCAGCCAUGCCGCGUGUGUGAAGAAGGUCUUCGGAUUGUAAAGCACGUUAAGUUGGGAGGAAGGGCAGUAAGUUAAUACCUUGCUGUUUUGACGUUACCAACAGAAUAAGCACCGGCUAACUUCGUG
rnacentral:rRNA from 1 species